GACGAACGCUGGCGGCGCGCUUAACACAUGCAAGUCGAACGGAAAGGCCUGCUUUCCCUUGUGGAUUGCGGGUACUCGAGUGGCGAACGGGUGAGUAACACGUGAGUGAUCUGCCCCCAACUUGGGUAUAAGCCUGGGAAACUGGGUCUAAUUCCCGAUAGGACUGUAGGGUGGUGCCUGUGGUGGAAAACGAUUUUCUAGUGGUUGGGGAUGAGCGCGCGGCCUAUCAGCUUGUUGGUGGGGUAAUGGCCUACCAAGGCGGCGACGGGUAGCCGGCCUGAGAGUGUGGACGGCCACAUUGGGACUGAGAUACGGCCCAGACUCCUACGGGAGGCAGCAGUGGGGAAUAUUGAGCAAUGGGCGGAAGCCUGAGGCAGCGACGCCGCGUGGGGGAUGACGGCCUUCGGGUGGUAAACUCCUUUCGACCGCGAGGAAGCCACCUGGUUGGAAGGGUGGUGACGGUAGUGGUAGAAGAAGCACCGGCUAACUACGUG
rnacentral:rRNA from 1 species